GUUAAAACAAUAGUUUAAGAUAUCAUUACACUUUAACUUUUAUUUCUGGAAAACAAUCUUCAGAGCAUUAUCAUUCAUCUUAAGAUUACUCAUGUAUGCAUUCUUUGAAAAUCUAACAUCUUAACAUGUAUCCGCUGCCUUUUUUUUGCAAAGAGCCUCAUUUUUCAAAAGUCACAAUUAGAGGGCUUGCCAGCAUUUUAACCUUGUGUUGGCUUCAAUUCUCUUUGGAACAAUGAUCUCCCAGCCAUAGUUACUACUUUCAUCCUAGAAGCUCUCACUCAUCCCAUGAGGCUUUCUUCAUUAUUCCCAAGUUUAGCAACAGGGAAGCUGCAGUGUUCUCACAAAAAAAGUCCAAAAGUUGCUUAAAGAGUAUAAGUAAUAUUUUCCAUUUUUAUUUAAAUUUCUUUCUGAUCCAGAGCCUUCCUUUUAGAUUAAGACUAAUUUCUUUGAUGCUCAUGGUUUUCAGAUGAUAAAUCCCACAGUAACAUUAGCAUCUGACACUCUGAAAAAGCUCCUAUGGUGCAUAAAUUUUCAUCAAACACUCUAAAUAUUUUGUGGUUCUUAAUGUUAUGCUAUAUUUGAGUCAAGGAGUCAUGGGAUAUAUUUAAAAAUCCAAAUGACAGAGAAGUAUAUUGAAUUGAAAAGUGAUAGUUCUGCUGUACGUUCCAAUCUAUGCUGCAAAUCCCCUUUUCCUUGCCAGAGAUAACCUUGGUGCACUGUCUUCCUAUGCCUGUCCUGUGUAUCUCGCAGAUGUAUUUAUUCAUGUGGAUGUCGCUUAUUACGCACUGGAUAAUAGAAAGGAUGAAACUCUUUAUAUCUGGGUCAACAUCUGGCUUCCAUUAUAUGUUGGAUACUGAAGAAAAUGAAGGAAUACAAAGGCAAAUUGCACUAUUAUCUCAGCCUCGGUUUCUUCCUCAGAUCACAUACACACUAGGAAACACAGUGCAUACACACAGGCAGUUGUACUUAAAUGAUGUCAUAAUUUGCACACUGUUCUGCAACGUAUUUUUGUUCUUACUACAUCCUAGUUAUUUUCUCAUAUCAGAACAUUCCUCAUCUUUCUUAACAAGGAUCUCAUAGCAUAGACUUUUCAUAAUUUAUGUAGCCAUCACUGUAUUGAUAGGUGUUUACAUUGUUUCUAUUUUUUCUAUUACAAAAAUGUAUUUGAAAUUCAUGUCUUUUUACAUGCAUGUUUUUACAUGUGUACAAAUAUUUCUGUAAGACAGAUUUCACUAAGUAGAACCAAAAAGUGAUACAAUUUUUUGUUUUCAAAAGAUACCACUAAAUAACUCCAAAAAGACCAUAACAAUUACAUUUCACACUAUGAAAUUCCAAGAUUCCUCAUACCCUCAUCAGCACUUGAUAGUAAAUGAGAAAUAUUUAUAUUACAUAUAAAUGAAAAAAAUUAAAAUAUACACUUGUGUUUCUAGCUCCAAUUAGAGAAGUAACAUUUUCAAAGCCUAUUUGCUACUGAAAAUUUAAAAGCACACAUGAACUUUAGCAUAACAAACACAUAUCAUUUUCUGAUUAAAUGGGGUUACAUCUGUGUUUGUUGUAUUUGAGGAUGAGCUCCUAUAACAAAAAGGAUCCAAAAUACAGUGGCUUAACAAAUGCAGAAAUGAGUGUCUUUCUUGUGUAACAGAGCGGAAGUAAAUAGCUCAGAUGGGUGGGACAGAUCAGCUAUAUGCAGUCAUUCAGAGACAGAUUCCAUCUGAAUAACUCAGACGGGUGGGACAGAUCAGCUAUAUGCAGUCAUUCAGAGAUAGAUUCCUGCAACCUAAUUGCUCCCUCAUCCUCUGGGAUACAAAUGAAGCUGGACCCCUGCCACAUACAGAAAACAUCUUAAUGAGUUUUGCUGAAUGUUUUAAUUUCCAGACCCAGACACAUCACUUCUGCUCACAUUCUAUUAACCAGAACUUGUCCAUCUAACUGCUAGAGAGGCUGAGAAAUACAACCUAGUUCAGAGGUUUCGACUCAAUCACAAUUUUAUUUUCAUGGCAAAAGGGAAGAACAGAUUUUGGUGGAACUCAGUCGCAUUUACUACUGCCCCCAAUGUCAUAGUAAUAUUCAAAUAACUGAACUAAAUAAAAAAGAUGGCAUUUCAUAAAGGCAAAUCCAGGAGAAGAUAGAAAUUGACAUAUUCAAAAGGCAAUGUUUAUAUAUAUGAGCUUUAAAUUACAUAGAAAUUUUCUUCCAAUAAUAUUUUUUAAAGUGUUUACAACUAUUUGGUCCAUCCUAGGUCAUCUGAAGUAAGUAAGCAUUUCUUCUUAUCUGUGGAAAUAUUCUAUAAAUAUUGCAAUGACUUAAAACGAAGUUCCCAAGAUACCUCAAAUUGUCAUAUUUCCUUCAGUUUGUAUUAGUUUCAUCUCAUUACUUUAAUCCUGGGCCACUUUUUAAAGGGCUAAACAAAAACAAAUUUGUAACUACUUAACAUUUUGAAAGUAUACACAAGUAAGCCUAAGAAGAAUUUAAUGUCUAGAAAUAAAAUGCACCAAAUGUAUGCUCUACAGCAGGGGAAAUCAAUUCUAAAGCUGGGCCUGGGAUAGAGAAUAGAGGAGGCCAAAACCCUCUCUAGUUAGACUUAAGUCUGUACUAGAAGACAUGCCUAACUCCUGUCUUGCUGGCACAAUGAACACAUUUAACUAAAGGCAUACAACAAAGCCAUUAUUGUUUUCUGGAAGAUGAUAAGACCAACAGAAUAGUAUAAUGCCUUUUUUGGCACUGAGAGAUGAAGUCAGAGAACUUUGGAACUCAAAAGGAGCAAUAAAAUGGCCAUGUGAAAAGGACACUUUGGAAAUACAGUAAUGACAGAAAUAUAAGAUGCAUAAAUGUGAUCAAGAUUUACUGGUAGAGAUGUGCUUCUGAGGUGCUGUCACUCUCUGCCACACCUGGCAGCAGGAUGUUAGAUGAGAUGGGAGCCCACA
rnacentral:lncRNA from 1 species